rnacentral:rRNA from 1 species
AGAUUGAACGCUGGCGGCGUGCUUAACACAUGCAAGUCGAGCGGUAACGCGGGAGCAAUCCUGGCGACGAGCGGCGAACGGGUGAGUAAUGCUUGGGAAUCUGCCCAUUAGUGGGGAACAACCAGCCGAAAGGUUGGCUAAUAUCGCAUACGCCCUACGGGGGAAAGCGGGGGAUCGAAAGACCUCGCGCUAAUGGAUGAGCCCAAGUCGGAUUAGCUUGUUGGUAGGGUAACGGCCUACCAAGGCGACAAUCCGUAGCUGGUCUGAGAGGACGACCAGCCACACUGGGACUGAGACACGGCCCAGACUCCUACGGGAGGCAGCAGUGGGGAAUAUUGGACAAUGGGGGCAACCCUGAUCCAGCGACGCCGCGUGUGUGAAGAAGGCCUGCGGGUUGUAAAGCACUUUUAGUGGGGAUGAAAAGCUCAGGGUUAACACCUCUGGGUCUUGACCUAACCCACAGAAAAGCACCGGCUAACUCUGCGCCAGCAGCCGCGGUAA